AGCUCCAAUAGCGUAUAUUAAAGUUGUUGCAGUUAAAAAGCUCGUAGUUGAACUUCAGGCCCGACCGGGCGGUCCGCCUAACGGUGUGUACUGUCUGGUGGGGUCUUACCUCUUGGUGAACCUGCAUGCUCUUUACUGGGUGUGUAGGGGAACCAGGACAUUUACCUUGAGAAAAUUAGAGUGUUCAAAGCAGGCUUAUGCCCGAAUACAUUAGCAUGGAAUAAUAGAAUAGGACGUGCGGUCUUAUUUUGUUGGUUUCUAAGAUCGCCGUAAUGAUGAAUAGGGACAGUUGGGGGCAUUUGUAUUGCGUCGCUAGAGGUGAAAUUCUUGGAUUGACGCAAGACAAACUAUUGCGAAAGCAUUUGCCAAGGAUGUUUUCA
rnacentral:rRNA from 1 species